ensembl:lncRNA
CUCAUUUUGGCCCCACACAAGGGCUAAACUCCUCACCACACAAGACUUCCACAGCCCAGCCUGCCCUCGGUCACCCUUGCCCACGCAGUCUGCAGGUGCUACGACAAGGACCUUCCCCUCGGCCUUGUGGCCCCAUCCAGGAGUGCCCCUUCUCUUUCAGACCGAGCUUGCCAGUCACUUGGCUCUCCCAGAAGAAAAGGCAUGGGGGUGGUCUGUGGAACAGAAUGCUCUCUGCCCCUGGGAACCUGGCCAAAGCAAAGGUUCUGACCUCUGGUGGACUCCUGAGCCCUCAGGUUUCUCAGCCAGCCUCCUGAGACACUGAUCCUACAGGCUGCAGUCUGGAUACAGUGGCACAUGUCUGUCAUCCCAGCACUCAGGAAGCUGAACCAGGAAGAUCAUGAGUUUGAGUCCAGCCCCGGAAAAAAAAAUUAUAUAGAGAGUGAGCGUGUGUAUAUCUACUUAAAAGAAUCUACAGUGCUGCUACUGAUGGGCAUUACAGAGUCUGGUCACUGGUUUUUUUUCCCCCCUUGGAUUUUGUUUUGUUUGUGGUAGUGAGCAUUGAACCCAGGAGCUUCACACUGAUCUACAUCCCUAGCCCUUUUUGAUUCUGAGAUAGCUAUCACUAAGUUGCCUAGGCUGGGCUCGACCUCCUAGCCUGACUCUGGUACUGUUUUGCUGGUGACAGAAAGCUGAGACACCCAGGAGGACUUUGUCCUCCCCUACUCCUGCAGGCUAGGGUUUAGUACAGUACUUUGUGCUUCUAAAGCAGUAUACUGGAAGAUGUCUCAGCACUGUUUAUAACUGGAUACUUGGGAAGGGAGGGGCAGCCAUGGAACAGGAAAGGAGACUCACAAAUCUUUUUUUUUUUUGGUACCGGGGAUCGAACUUGGGUCCUUGCGCUUGCAAGGCAGACAGUGGAACCACUGAGCUAAAUCCCUGGACUGAGGCUCACAAAUCUUAAACUGCAGUGAAGAUGCUCUCAGGGCCAUAGAAAGCAAUGAUUUUCUUAGCUUAGCGAGCAUUUGGCUUGCCUGCCUCAGCAUUUGACCCAGGUGGGAUGGUUUCAGGUCUCACACCAAUGAGACAAUCUAAACCACUGCCUCUUUCUCUUCUCUCUGGGGCACAGGUGCUGAGGAAAAGUAAACUGGCAGUAGUGUAACUGCAGAACACAAAUCCAGUGGCCCCGGGCAAGGCCAUGUGGGUGCACGUCAGGACUUUGUUUUCAGCAUUCCCUUUUGCAGCCAGGGCUGUGGGAAUGAGUAUUAGGUGAAAUGCCAGUUUCAUGGUUCAGGUGAAAGUCUUUGAUCUUGCCCUUAUUUGGCUUGUCAUUCAUAUUGUCCUGGCCCUUCACAGAGUUCUUUCUUUCCUACUCAGUGCCACCUGAACCCUGAUACCUGCCCUGUGCCUCUUUGAUGGGGUCCAGCCUGGUUCCCAGCCUCAGUUGAGCUGCUGUGCUGUGCCCAUCACUGAGAAGGCCCACUCGGUAUUCCUCAUGCCCUGUGCUAACAUUUUCUAUGUAGGGGACAGACAGAAAUGUUUCUCAUUUUUAGUUCAUUUUUAGCAGAGGAAAUAUAACAUAUUUUUUCUUUUUGAAGGAUAGAAGUUAUUUUUAUGUAGUUUCCAAACUUUACAUAAAACUUUUGUAAAAUGUUCUCUGCAAAGUUAACUGAAAGAAUGUAAAUAUGCUUCUAAUAAAAUAACCAAGCAGUUUGCAUUGAGGUGGUUCAUUUAUUUAUUUAUUUGAGGUGCUGGUGAUCAAACUCAGGAUCUUGUGCUUUCCAGGCAGUCAUGGUGCCACUGAGCUAAAUCCUUGGUCCUAAAGGAUGCUUACACUUACAUGUGUGCCCACCAAGCAAGGGUUUAUCCUCUCAGGUCAGACUGUGGGUUUCUGUUCUGCUUUACAGAGGGAGAUGCGGAAGGAGAGAAAACGUAUGUGUGUG